GCUUAACACAUGCAAGUCGAGCGGUAAGGCCCUUCGGGGUACACGAGCGGCGAACGGGUGAGUAACACGUGGGUGAUCUGCCUCGCACUCUGGGAUAAGCCUGGGAAACUGGGUCUAAUACCGGAUAUGAGCAGCCUCUGCAUGGGGGUUGUUGGAAAGGUUUACUGGUGCGAGAUGGGCCCGCGGCCUAUCAGCUUGUUGGUGAGGUAACGGCUCACCAAGGCGACGACGGGUAGCCGGCCUGAGAGGGCGACCGGCCACACUGGGACUGAGACACGGCCCAGACUCCUACGGGAGGCAGCAGUGGGGAAUAUUGCACAAUGGGCGAAAGCCUGAUGCAGCGACGCCGCGUGAGGGAUGACGGCCUUCGGGUUGUAAACCUCUUUUGACAGGGACGAAGCGCAAGUGACGGUACCUGUAGAAGAAGCACCGGCCAACUACGUGCCAGCAGCCGCGGUAAUACGUAGGGUGCGAGCGUUGUCCGGAAUUACUGGGCGUAAAGAGCUUGUAGGCGGUCUGUCGCGUCGAUUGUGAAAACUUGCAGCUCAACUGCAAGCUUGCAGUCGAUACGGGCAGACUAGAGUACUGCAGGGGAGACUGGAAUUC
rnacentral:rRNA from 1 species